UACGUAGGGUGCGAGCGUUUGUCCGGAAUUACUGGGCGUAAAGAGCUCGUAGGCGGCUUGUCGCGUUUGUCCGUGAAAAUUUACAGCUCAACUGUGAACUUGCGGGCGAUACGGGCAGGCUAGAGUACUGCAGGGGAGACUGGAAUUCCUGGUGUAGCGGUGAAAUGCGCAGAUAUCAGGAGGAACACCGGUGGCGAAGGCGGGUCUCUGGGCCACUACUGACGCUGAGAAGCGAAAAGCAUGGGGGAGCGAACAGG
rnacentral:rRNA from 1 species